UACGUAGGUGGCAAGCGUUUGUCCGGAUUUACUGGGCGUAAAGAGCGCGCAGGCGGUCGUUCAAGUCGCGUGUGAAAGCCCCCCGGCUCAACUGGGGAGGGUCACGCGAUACUGAUCGACUGGAAGGCAGGAGAGGGUAGUGGAAUUCCCGGUGUAGUGGUGAAAUGCGUAGAUAUCGGGAGGAACACCAGUGGCGAAGGCGACUACCUGGCCUGUUCUUGACGCUGAGGCGCGAAAGCUAGGGGAGCAAACGGGG
rnacentral:rRNA from 1 species